GGGGAAUCUUGCACAAUGGGGGCAACCCUGAUGCAGCGACGCCGCGUGAGCGAUGAAGCCCUUCGGGGCGUAAAGCUCUUUCGACCGGAACGAUAAUGACGGUACCGGGAGAAGAAGCUGCGGCUAACUACGUGCCAGCAGCCGCGGUAAUACGUAGGCAGCAAGCGUUGUUCGGAGUUACUGGGCGUAAAGAGUGCGUAGGCGGUUUUCUAAGUUCGGUGUGAAAUCUCCCGGCUUAACUGGGAGGGUGCGCCGAAGACUGGGAAGCUGGAGUGUGGGAAAGGCAGGCGGAAUUCCUGGUGUAGCGGUGAAAUGCGUAGAUAUCAGGAGGAACACCGGCGGUGUAGACGGCUUGCUAGACCAUAACUGGCGCUGAGGCACGAAAGCGUGGGUAGCAAACA
rnacentral:rRNA from 1 species